CGUGCUCGCUUCGGCAGCAUGGUAUACUAGAAUCGGAAAGAUACAGAGAUUAGCAUGGCCCCUGCGCAAGGAUAGCAUGCAAAUUCAUGAAGCGUUUCAUAUUUUU